rnacentral:misc_RNA from 1 species
GGUCCUUCUGUUGGAACAAAAGUAGCGAUAUAUCCUCAAUGUCCCCGCCCAGAUUUGGUCAGGGGAUUGCGCGAGCACACAGAUGCUGGUGGUAUCAUUCUCUUACUCCAAGACGAACAAGUUCCAGGUCUGGAAUUCUUCAAAGAUGGGCAUUGGGUGAACAUUCCACCUUCAAAGAACAACAGACUUUUUGUAAACAUAGGUGAUCAAAUCGAAAUUUUGACCAAUGGGAUGUAUAAGAGUAUUCGACACCGAGUGAUGGCUGAAAAGGAUGGGAAUAGACUUUCCAUUGCCACCUUUUACAACCCUGCUGGUGAGGCCAUCAUUUCUCCAGCAUCAAAGCUCUUGUAUCCCUGUCACCUCCGCUUUCAGGAUUAUCUGAAUCUCUAUUCCAAAACCAAAUUUGCUGAAAAAGGCCCUAGAUUUGAGUCUGCCAAAAGAUUGGCCAAUGGGCAUUGAGGAAGAAGGAUUAUUGUAUUUCUUACUUAUAAUUUCAGUGAUAUAUUUUCCCCUUUUUCAUUUUGGGCAUUCUUUGGGUUAAAAUAGAAGAGAAG